UGCCAACCUUUCUCCUUUCCAAAACUAGGUCUGGAAUGGGGUUUUGAACUCCUGCUAGUGAGUGAAUUGCACUGGUGUUAUUAACCAAAAAAGUGUUCCUCCAACUGAAGUAGCUUGAAGAUUUUGUCUACUGAAGUGCAAACUACUCAACACCCUUAUGCAUUUGAAAAAGAGUUGAACAGAUGUCUCUAAAACUAUUCAUUUGUUUGAGAAAUGCCAAGUUUGAGGUGACUGGAGAAUUGAUUGCUAUGAAUCAUCUGUAUGGGGCAUUUACAAGCAAGUCUAUUUCUAAAGAACUCAAGAAAGCAGUAAUUCAGUAAAGCAUGAAGAGGAAUCUGCUAAGAUGUUUUACAAUGGAUGGUAGUUCCAUACAGCUGCAUGAAUUAUUUUUCCUUCACAAACUGGUUUGUUUUGUCCUCUGACAAGGCUGACUCAUUCAAGGCAGAAAAAACUUGAGGAAAUCAAAGAAAAAAUAUCUGGUACUUGAUUCCCAUUAUUUACAAUUUUUAAAAAUAUUUAUUUAUCUGAAAGACAAUGAGAGAAAAAGAAAGAGAGAAAGAAGUCUUUUAUCCACCAAUUCACUCCUCAGAUGACCUCAGUGGCCUGGGCUAGACCAAUCUGAAGCCAGGAGCCAAGAGCUUCAUGUGGAUCUCCUACAUGAAUGGUAGAUACCCAAACACCUCCGAGAUCCAAACACCUGGGCCAUCUGCUUCUUUUCUCGAGCAUAUUGGCAAGUAGCUGGGUUGGAAGUUGAGCAGCUGAACAACAGUGAACACAACAUGUCAUGAUACAACACCAGCCCCUUUUUAUAAUUUUAAUAAUGAAGAUGUCAGCAUUACUGUUACAUAUAUGCUGAAUAUGGGAAAAUAAAUUUUAUCUGUC